UACGUAGGUGGCAAGCGUUGUCCGGAUUUACUGGGCGUAAAGGGCGUGCAGGCGGUCUGUUAAGUUCAGGGUGAAAGCUCCCGGCUCAACUGGGAGAGGUCCUUGGAUACUGGCAGACUUGAGGGAGGUAGAGGAGAGUGGAAUUCCCGGUGUAGUGGUGAAAUGCGCAGAUAUCAGGAGGAACACCAAUGGCGAAGGCAGCUCGCUGGGACGUGACUGACGCUGAGACGCGAAAGCGUGGGGAGCAAACAGG
rnacentral:rRNA from 1 species